CAGUAGUCACGAGUUUGAUCUGGCUCAAGAACGAACGCUGGCGGCAUGCCUAACACAUGCAAGUCGAACGAGACCUUCGGGUCUAGUGGCGCACGGGUGCGUAACGCGUGGGAACCUGCCUUAGGUUCGGAAUAACUCAGAGAAAUUUGAGCUAAUACCAUAUAAUGUCUUCGGACCAAAGAUUUAUCGCCCUGAGAUAAGCCCGCGUAGGAUUAGCUAGUUGGUGGGGUAAAGGCUCACCAAGGCGACGAUCCUUAGCUGGUCUGAGAGGAUGAUCAGCCACACUGGGACUGAGACACGGCCCAGACUCCUACGGGAGGCAGCAGUGGGGAAUAUUGGACAAUGGGCGAAAGCCUGAUCCAGCAAUGCCGCGUGAGUGAUGAAGGCCUUCGGGUUGUAAAGCUCUUUUACUCGGGACGAUAAUGACGGUACCGAGAGAAUAAGCCCCGGCUAACUCCGUG
rnacentral:rRNA from 1 species